CUCAACCCGGCGCUCCGCUAUAUAAACCGUUGCAACGGCUCGUGCUGCACAGAUUUUGCCAGUCAGCUGAACGUAACAUCUUGAAGCAAAAUGAAAUUCGUGUCGCUCCUUCUCGCUGUGGCGGUGGCUCUGUCAGCCCUGCUGGGGGCAGCACGAGCCAUGCCUGAGCCAGAAGCCCUGGCCGAUGCUGAGGCCUCGGCCUACGCAGGCUACGGAGGCCACUACGGAGGCCACUAUGGAGGCUAUCGUAGAGGAGGCCACUACGGAGGCUACAGGCGAGGGUAUGGGAGGAGGUAAGGCUCCGAAAGUAACCGUCAACCAACCGAGACCGACCGACCGCUACUUCUUCACCAAUGUGCUCAUGGAGACGACAAGGCAAGCCAACGUUGUAACGUUACAAAUUAAAAGAUUGAUUUCCCUUUA